CGUGAUCCGCCCUUCGGGGUGGUGAAAGUGGCGCACGGGUGAGUAACGCGUGGAUAAUCUGCCCGAGGAUUUGGGAUAACAUCUCGAAAGGGGUGCUAAUACCGAAUAAGCCCACGGGGUCUACGGAUCUUGCGGGAAAAGGGGGGGACCUUCGGGCCUCCUGUCCUUGGAUGAGUCUGCGUACCAUUAGCUAGUUGGUGGGGUAAUGGCCUACCAAGGCGACGA
rnacentral:rRNA from 1 species